rnacentral:lncRNA from 1 species
UGCUUGCCCACCGUCUGAGUGCAGAAAAUUCUCCAGGGGGUUCCAGACCUGGCUAUCCAGUAGCAAAGGAAACCCAGACGUGUUACCCAGUCUAACCAGCAGGGAACCAAACACCGAAAGACAAGAACCAGCGAGAUUCCAGUGAACCCCGGCUGGUGAGAGUGGUGCGAGUGGAGGCAGCACGAAUGGUACUGUCCGAUCCGGACCUAUAUCCCAAUAAAGUGAGAGACGGAAAGGGCAGGAACAGUAACCCGGCUUUACACCAGAACACAAUUGACAGGCUGUAGAGCAGCCAUCAAGAACCUCCCAUGGACCCACCGAGGAGGACACAUCACGGAUCCAGAGGAGGGAAAGGAGGUUGAUGACUCACUAGUCUUUGCUCUCAAAAAUGUUCCCCAGUUUCUUCCCAUCUGGCAGAUCCUGCUCCUUCUCAGAGAGGUUGAAAAUUGCAGGAAUUUGCUUUUCCAGGAUUCCUUGCCACUGGAACAUGAAAUGUAACCCAAUAUUGAUGAAUGUGAUCUAAAGAAAAAUAUGCCUUCCUAAUAU